ACCUGGGUGGCUGAGUCAGUUAAGCAUGUGACUUCAGUUCAGAUCACAGUCUCACAGUUCGUGGGUUCGAGCCCCACGUCAGGCU
rnacentral:tRNA from 1 species